GUAUUUCAAAUGUUUCAAAAGACAUACAAUGUCUAACACAAACAUUCUGGUAACAAGCAUAAAUGAAGAGACAUAAACCUGAAGAUACAAGAACAGCUGCAAAGCAAUUCUCAAUCCAAGAAAUCAAUCUUGAUGAAAUCAAUCAGGUUUACAAACAAUGCACAGGUGGUUAAAAAUCAGGCAUGUGUGCCUUUGCUUGCUUAGAAAAGCCAGCAAAACACACAUGACUAAAUUUUGUUUCAAUAAUGAUCCUUCCGCAGGUUCACCUACGGAAA
rnacentral:misc_RNA from 1 species